CGGAAUCUACCUUUUCGUGGGGGAUAACGUAGGGAAACUUACGCUAAUACCGCAUACGACCUUCGGGUGAAAGCAGGGGACCUUCGGGCCUUGCGCGGAUAGAUGAGCCGAUGUCGGAUUAGCUAGUUGGCGGGGUAAAGGCCCACCAAGGCGACGAUCCGUAGCUGGUCUGAGAGGAUGAUCAGCCACACUGGAACUGAGACACGGUCCAGACUCCUACGGGAGGCAGCAGUGGGGAAUAUUGGACAAUGGGCGCAAGCCUGAUCCAGCCAUACCGCGUGGGUGAAGAAGGCCUUCGGGUUGUAAAGCCCUUUUGUUGGGAAAGAAAAGCAGUCGGCUAAUACCCGGUUGUUCUGACGGUACCCAAAGAAUAAGCACCGGCUAACUUCGUGCCAGCAGCCGCGGUAAUACGAAGGGUGCAAGCGUUACUCGGAAUUACUGGGCGCAAAGCGUGCGUAGGUGGUUGUUUAAGUCUGUUGUGAAAGCCCUGGGCUCAACCUGGGAAUUGCAGUGGAUACUGGGCGACUAGAGUGUGGUAGAGGGUAGUGGAAUUCCCGGU
rnacentral:rRNA from 1 species